UACGGAGGAUCCAAGCGUUAUCCGGAUUUAUUGGGCUUAAAGGGUGCGUAGGCGGCCUAUUAAGUCAGGGGUGAAAGACGGUAGCUUAACUAUCGCAGUGCCUUUGAUACUGAUGGGCUUGAAUGAACUAGAGGUACGCGGAAUGUGACAAGUAGCGGUGAAAUGCAUAGAUAUGUCACAGAACACCAAUUGCGAAGGCAGCUUACUAUGGUUUUAUUGACGCUGAGGCACGAAAGCGUGGGGAUCAAACAGG
rnacentral:rRNA from 1 species